rnacentral:rRNA from 1 species
CACCAGCGCCACAAGUGGGAAUCCGCAUUAUUGGGCCUAAAGCGUCCGUAGCUCGUCUGUUAACUCUCUUGUGAAAUCGUUAAUGCUAACUUAACGGCGCGCAAGAGAAACUGGCAGACUAGGGACCGGGAAGGGUAAGGAGUAUUUCUGAGGGAGCGGUAAAAUGCUAUAAUCUUAGAAAGACUACCUGUGGCGAAGGCGCCUUACUUGAACGGAUCCGACUGUGAGGGACGAAAGCUAGGGGAGCAAAACGG